rnacentral:lncRNA from 1 species
AAACUUUAAGUAUAAGUUGCUUUUUUGAGCGUUCUAAAUUUUUUAAGCCUUCCUUGUCAUUUUAAUUUUAAAAAGACUGAAAUAAAUUGAAAGUCCAAGGUGGAAUUAUUCAGUCUAUUUAAGGUAACAUUAUUUUUGGUUGUUUAGAGCCAAACUCACUUAAUUUUAGGUCUGUUUUAAAGAUUUUUAUGUAGUAAGACAACUUCAUGAAGUCAUUUUUACUCCAUUUACUUAUCUGCAAAUGCAGUUGGAUUACAGAAGGCCCCUUUCAAAGCCGCAAUCCAAGGAUUAACUUUUAUGUCUCAGGAAUGAUAUUUGUA